rnacentral:lncRNA from 10 species
GCCUCCCCGCUGCGGACCUCUCGCUCCCGCCCCCACCCUCCAAGCAUCGGUCACCCUGCCGUUGUCCUCACAUCCUACCGCUCCACUGCUGAGCGCAAACUCCUGCCACUCCUCAAGCCUCCCAAACCAACUCGUGUCAGGCAGGAUGCCACCAUUUUCGGGGACCCCCCACAGCCAGAUCUUGAUCUGCUUUCUGAAGAUGGAAUCCAAACAGGGGACAGUCCUGAUGAAGCUCCUCAGAAUACUCCUCCAGCAACUGUGGAGGGGAGGUACUGAACACCCCCACCCCUACUCCCUGGUUCUCUCCCCACCAUGCUUCUACCUGAGGGCAGACUAACCUUCAGCUCCAGCUAAAUCCCACCUCCACAAAGAAGGCCGGGCACGGUGGCUUACAUCUGUAAUCCCAGCACUCUGGGAGGCCGCGGCAGAAGGAUCACCUGAAGUCAGGAGUUCAAGAUCAGCCUGGCUAACGUGGUGAAACCCUGUCUCUACUAAAAAUACAAAAAUUAGCCGGGCAUGGUGACGGGUGCCUGUAAUCCCAGCUACUCGGGAGGCUGAGGCAGGAGAAUGGCUUGGACCCAGGGAGAUGGAGGUUGCAGGGAGCCAAGAGCGUGCCACUGCACUCCAGCCUGGUCGACAAGAGAGAAACUCCAUCUCAAAAAAAAAAA